CACCUGUAACUGUGUGAAAUUGAGAAAGGAGAAGAUGCGAUAUAGAGGUAAAUAGCCUAGUAAGUACCCAAGCACAUUGCCUACACCUAUCAUUCUUCCAGCCCAGGAAUUUGCUUCAUGCUGUUGAUCUGAACGGACUGAAUCAACAAUUAAAGAUCGAGUGCUAGCCAUUACUAGUUAUAAAGUUAGUCAUUUGUAUGAACUACUACUCUGAAAACUAAAUCCCUAAAUUCACAUACCGACAUUGACG